rnacentral:rRNA from 1 species
AUUGAACGCUGGCGGCAGGCCUAACACAUGCAAGUCGGGCGAGAGGCGGACGGGUGAGCAAUUGAUGGGGAUCUGCCUGAUGGAGGGGGAUAAGUACUGGAAACGGUAGCUAAUACCGCAUACAAUGAGUUGAACCCAUAUGGGUUUAGCUAGUAGGUGAGGUAAAGGCUCACCUAGGCGACGAUCCCUAGCUGGUCUGAGAGGAUGAUCAGCCACACUGGGACUGAGACACGGCCCAGACUCCUACGGGAGGCAGCAGUGGGGAAUAUUGCACAAUGGGCGCAAGCCUGAUGCAGCCAUGCCGCGUGUAUGAAGAAGGCCUUCGGGUUGUAAAGUACUGUCAGUCGGGAGGCGUUACCGACAGAAGAAGCACCGGCUAACUCCGUGCCAGCAGCCGCGGUAAUUC